CCGCCAUCUUGCGUACGGAGGUGCGGCUUGUUGCUCAGAUUCCGAGGGCUGGGCUUUGAGUCUCUCCCGCGUGUCUGCUUUCGCUCGUGUCUCCGCGCUUCUUUCACCUUCUCAGAUGUUCGUGUCUUUCUAGAAGAAGGUUCUAUUGGGAGGUAAAAGUCAAUGCGGAACUGUGGUGUAAGAUGCCUCAUAGUGAAAUUGAAGCUAAAUCCAUGGGACAUGGGGAAGAACUAACAAGUGAACCAUGCUGUAAGAAACUGAAGUCUGCUGAAGAGGCACAUGUUCUCCCCCAUCAUGGUAGUGCUAAUUUUCACAGAAUCCGGGAAAAAACUGGAAAUGAUUGGGUGCCUGUGACCAUCAUUGAUGUCAGAGGACAUAGUUAUUCUCAGGAAGACAAAACCAAAACUACAGAUUUGCUGAAACCUGUGCAUGAUGAGAUGCCUGGUAAUAGACCGGAUGUUCUGGAUGUUAUUGAUUCUGUUGAUUCACAAGUUUUACAGGCCAGACAUCCUCCAUUGGUAUCCACAGAUAAUGAGAUAUAUAGCACAAGUAAAGCAUUUAUAGGACCCAUUUACAAACCCCCUGAGAAAAAAAAAUACAACGCAAGGAGGACACAAGCAGACACUAUCAAUGGUAUAGAUGGCAAAGGAGGACAAGAAAAGAAACAGAAAAGAUCAGAAAUUGACAGUGAAUUGUUCCAGUUUUACAAAGAAAUUGAAGAGCUUGAAAAUAAAAAAGAUGAUUCAGAAGUCAGUGGUAAGGAACCUGAACCCUCUGAGGGACAGCUUAUUUCAUAUUAUCAGAGCCGUAAUAAUGAUGUGUUAAAAUCUGAAGAAGAAAAGGAAAAAGAGUUUAGUAAUGUCCUUCAGUCACAUUGUGGUUGUCAACAGUACCUGGGGAAUGAACCAGACGAAUAUCCUUGUGAUGGACAAGUAAUAUCUACAUUUUGUGACAAUUCGUUUACUUCCUUCAGGCCUGAAUGGCAAUCAGCGCAUUCUUUUAUAGUACCCCAAGACCCUCUUGUUCCUAGUUUUAAUAUUCAAAGAUUCAGUGUUCCGCCAAAUCCACCAUCAAAUAUUUUCCAUGCCCAAGAUGGUUUUCAGCUACAAAAUGGAUAUUAUGUAAAUAGUUGUCAUGUUAACUGGAAUUGUUUGACUUUUGAUCAGAACAAUGAAUAUACUGACUGUAGUGACAUUACCAGUAGUGAUCAUCCUUCUAGAAAUGGCUACAGUGUGCAAGGUGGAUAUGCGAGUAAUGGUUUCUGUGAAACCAGUGAAGGAUGCUGGAAAGAUCCUUCUAUGGACAAGUAUAAUGGAACAGACAAGUUUAUGAAUCCGCAGUUUCAAGAGGAAAAGUUAAAUAAAUUGCAGAAGUUACUUAUUCUCUUAAGAGGCUUACCUGGUUCUGGGAAAACAACAUUGUCUCGAAUUCUACUUGGUCAGAGUCGUGAUGGCAUUGUGUUCAGCACUGAUGACUAUUUUCACCAUCAAGAUGGGUACAGGUAUAAUGUUAAUCAACUUGGUGAUGCCCAUGACUGGAACCAGAACAGAGCAAAACAAGCUAUCAAUCAGGGGAGAUCUCCAGUUAUAAUAGACAACACUAAUACACAAGCUUGGGAAAUGAAACCGUAUGUGGAAAUGGCCAUAGGAAAAGGAUACAGAGUAGAGUUUCAUGAACCUGAAACUUGGUGGAAAUUUGAUCCUGAAGAAUUAGAAAAGAGGAAUAAACAUGGUGUGUCUCGAAAGAAGAUUGCUCAGAUGUUAGAUCGUUAUGAAUAUCAAAUGUCCAUCUCUAUUGUAAUGAAUUCAGUGGAACCGCCACACAAAAGUACACAAAGACCUCCUCCUUCACAGGGGAGACAGAGAAGAGAUUAGAAUGCAGACACACCAAACGGGAAGACCUUGUGAUGACAUUGGAGGAAGACAGCCAUCUACAAGCAAGGAGAGAAGCUUUUGAAGAAACCUACCCUGCUGACACCUUGAUCUUGGACUUCUCCAGAAUUGUGAGAAAGUUAAUUUCUGUUGUUUAAGCCACCCAGACUGUGGUAUCUUGUAGCUUUGAAAAACUAACGCAGAUUUUUGGUAUUGGGGAACAAGAUGCUGCUCUAACAAAAUACCUAAAAAUGUUGAAGUGGCUUUAGAACUGAGUAUGGUAGAGGCUGGAAGAGUUUUGAGCUUUACAUUAGAAAAAGCCAAGGUUGCCUUCAGAGAUUGUAUGUAGAGAUAUGGAUGUUAAAGGUGAUUCUGGUGAAGGCUCUGGAAGAAAAGAGCUGUUGAGAAGGCUUCUGUCAUCUUAGGGAUAGAAAUGUGAUCAUCAACAGAGUGUUGGUAGAAAUAUUAAAAGGGUGCUUCUGGUAAGGUCUCAGAUGGAAAUGAGGAACACGUUACUGGGAACUGAAGGAAAGAUGAUCUUGUUAUAAACAGGCAAAAAGCUUGACUAAAUUUUCUUCCAGGUGUUUGUGGAAAAUAGAAUUGGUAAGUGAUGAACUUGGACAUUUAACUGAGAUUUCUAAGCAAAGUGUGAAAGGCAUAGCCUGGUUUCUCCUUGCUGCUUAUGGUAAAAUGCAAGAGGACAGAUAAAUUGAAGGAAAAAUUGUUAAGCAAAAUGGAACCAAAAACUUGAAGAAUUGGAAAAUUCUCUGCCUAUGCAUAUUGUGAAAAAUUAGGAAGUGUGUUCUGGAAACAACAUCACGGUUGUUGCUGGACAACCAUCUGCUAAAGGGAAUAUGGGCAUGUGACUUAGUGGUCCAUUAAGCUAUCUCUGCAGGACCAGAGAUGGGGUUAUGCCAGCAGAAACAUUGCCAGCUUGGACUGAAUGGGACAGAGACAGGAUGAAAUGAAGGGAGGCUGUCAGAUUUCUACAAGACAAAUCAGUAGAGCUAUCUGUGGUGAUCUAGCUGUGAGUGUGUGUUGUCCUUCAUGAAAAGAGUAGAAUGAUCUUGAAAGCAGUUCAGAGAUUGGCAGAGCUACCAUUGCCACUAUGGGAUCAGAGCCCCAAGGGGGUGGGGCUACCACUUUGGUGGGCCUGGAAGGCAAGGCCUCCAGCCCAGUAGGCCUGCAGAACAGUGUGCAGCCAAAGAUUAGUCUUUAUUUAUAAUUAAAGAUUAUUCUUCAGCCUUAAAAUCUAAUGAACUUAGCCUUACUUGGUUUUAGAUUUGCUUGGGACCCAUCAUCCCUUUCUGAUUUUUCCCUUUUGGAAUGGGAAUGUCUAUCCUAUGCCUGUCCCACUGUUAUUUUUGAAAGCAAUGAGUUGUCUAGAAUGGCAGGUUCACAGCUGGAGAGGAAUUUUGCCUCAGGAUGAAUCAUAUGUCAAGUCUACAUACCUGGUUUAAAUGAUACUUAGAUGAGAUUUGGGACUUAGAGGUGAUGCUAGAAUGAGUUAAGAUGUUGGGGGCUUCUGGAAUGUGGUAAAUGUAUUUUGCACAUGAGAAGAAUAUUAAUAACAUACACUAAGGGAAGAUCUGUGAAGACACUGGAGGAAGAGGGCCAUCUACCAGCCAAGGAGAGAGGCCUUAGAAGAAACCAACCCCUUGGAUACCUUGAUCUCAGACUUUUAACCUCUGAAAUUAUGAGAAAAUAAACGUCUGUUGUUUAAGCCACCCCAUCUGUGCUUUGUCACAGCCCUAGUAAACUAGUACACAGCUGUUAACACUAGCUAGUUGAGAGGCACUUCUCUAUUCUGCAGGUCCUUCAUGUGUACAAUGAGGGCAUUUGACUGGAUCAGUGGUUCUUAAUUUUUAAUUUAAUUCAAAACUUUCAGAAAAUGGAACGUGUUUCUCAUUAAGUGUAUAAAGGGUUGCCUGACAUGAGAUGUUCAUAGUGUGACCGAGUUCUGUGUUUCAGAUUAUACCUUUGAGAUACCUCAGGGAUUGUUCUGAAGAGCAGAAUCCUCUACUUUUAGUGCAGAAUUAAAUUACAGAAUUUGAAGAUAAGUUGCAGUUCUGACUACAACGUGGACAAGUCACUUAAUUUGCUGAAAAUUUUCCUCAUAAUUAAAUGAAAAGAAUACUUUCUCAAUCUAUAGCAUAGAAUUAUUGGUUAGAUUAAAUGAGAUGAGUAUGUUAGUGUUUCAGCUGAAAUAGCUCUUGUGUUAGCCUUGAAAUUCUGUGAUUUUAUUUGCCUUUUGAUGAUUUCACCUCUUUAUACACUAUGGAUGGGCAGAGAAGUAAGCAAACCAACUGACUUUUAUACUAGUUAGAAAUGCUAGGAGAGAUCUAGAAGGAUAAAGUUUGAUUUUUCUGGUUAUUAAAUUAAUCAGGUACUUAUAGUCCUCAUUAGCAUAGGCAGUCAGGAAUAAAGCUGUGGACUACCUUAACACAAUUUGUGAUGAUGUGCCUUUUUUGUCAUGAAUAGUGGCACUGUUUUUCACCCUUGUUACAUGGACUGUUGAUAUGACCCAGUCAAUUUAACGUUCUCAUUUUUACUGACAAAUUUGAUAUGAUUAGUUUCAAAGAAAAAUGUAUUGGCCAGACCUCAUAAACCCAUUUCUUUAAAAGAAAUUUUCUAAUGUCAAGCAUAAUGAAAGUAAGAGAGCCUUUCCCCACCACCUUUGGUUCUCACAGAUACGUUUUUCCUCUUGUUUUUUUUAUCAUGACCUUCUGUGUAAUGUUCAUGUGAUAGUGUAUCGUCAGCCUACCUGUAGUUACAUAAAACUAUCAGUUAAUUGCAGCCUGGGCUUUUAUGAAAUGAGUCAUUCAAGAUGGGAACAUCAGUUUGAGUGGAUGUCAGCUUUCUAUUUUUAUGGUACAGUUAGGGAAAUGAUAGAGUUGUCACAAGAUUCAGUAGACAAAGGGGAAGAAGGUAUAUAUUGAAGGGUCAGAGAAGCAGUUUGUAGUAUUUUAAGAUACAAUUGCUAGUAUCUCAUCUGUUUAUUGCUUUAAAUGAUAGUAUUUAAAUUUUCAAUAACAACAUUCUUUUUGACUCCCUUCUUAGAUUAUUUCUUCCUCAAGGAAAUAGAAGAAAUUAUUGUAUUUAGAAACAAUUUACCUAUAGAAAAAUGAGAUCAUCAGGAGGCAGUAUAGAUCGCAUUCAAUGGAGAAAGGAAAUCAGAAGAAAAGCGCUAUCAGUUUUUAACUGGUUAAAUAAUUGGCCGUUGAGACUUGAUAAAACAAGGUGUUGAUAAAUUGCUAUGGUGUGGAAAUAAUGUGGAACAUUCAAGAGAUGUAUGUUUGACCAUAUGAAUUCUCCCUUUAUAGGAGCUGGGGUUAGAUCUGCUGCAGGCAUGGAGCCCAUGGUACGUCUCUAGGACUGAGUUUAGUGAGCAUCUUGCUAAGACAGUAAAAAGAGCCAUAUUAGGUCUUCACUAAAAGUCUCAGAAAACACCAGAAAUUAGGCUGAGGAACAGUAAAUUCAGCGAACAAGUUUAAAGCAAAAGCACAGUAAACCAGGAGACGGGCAGAAACUGAAAUCGAACUGAUUAAGUAAGGUUGGGUGCAUACAAGGAUGAUAGUCGGUCAUUGCCAUGAAUGGUGUUGAAAUACUGCAUGCUUGCUUUACUGGUGGUUAAACUGUAUUAUUUUUUGGUGGGGGAUAGACUGAUUUUAAGAUACAAUAUUGGACUAGAAGCUUCCUGUCUGCCUUUCCUACCUUGAUCAAGAGCUUUAUCUUGAUUAUUCUUAAAAGUUAUGGAGGUUGAUGGGGGGUGGGGGGUGGGAUUGGGAGGGGCCAGUAGGCUUAGAAGAUUCCCACAAUUUACUGUGACUCUAUCUCAGGUUGUCAGGGCUUGGCCAAAUUAUAAAAUAGAGGAUUGGAGUUCUUGGAGUGCGGGAGCCUGUAAUUGGGUUAACAAAUUGUAAGAGACCCCAGCCUCUUGUCUCCUUUAAGAACAGAUGUGCUUAGUAACUGCUUUGCAAGCAGGCGCUUGUACGUCUGCACUCCUGUCUCCUUGCCCUAAAAAGCAGAGACAAUGCCUUGCUUGCAUAGUUGAGGUUUUAGAUAGCACUCUGCUCAUUGCAAGCAAGGACUCAGGCCCUCAGCUAUAAACGCUGGGUGUGCCUGCUGUUAGUCUUACCCCAAACAGGGAACUGGCUGGUCUGGUGGUCUGCUUUAACAUAUCUGUAAGAAUGUAUCUUGCUUCCCUCUCCCCAUGACUUGCCUAAAGAUAAAGCCUUUGUACUCAUUGUGACUUGUACAAUCUCGAUCCCAUCCUCUCUUUCCCUAAAUUCCUGCAUUCCAUCACACAGUUGUUAAUGAUUUUUCCUUUGAUUAUACACAAUAAAUGUGGGAGCAUUUGAGAGGCUUGUGGAGUUGGCUCCCGACUUCCUCUCGCUCUCUUGACUUUCCACAGAGUAUCGAGUAAUUCAUUCCAUCCCGGUGGGCAGGGUGGGACUUAUGCCGUCGGAACCCACGUUGGAGACCAAGAAUAGUGUGAAAUACUUGAGGGGUAUAAAUUGGAAUUGAGACGUGGUGGGACUGACUUUGAAUAGGCCCAGGAGAAAGCCUUCUAACAUUUGGCAGUCAUAAGACCAUGAAAAGUAUGGAAAACAAAUAGGGUUUCCUCUCUGAAUUGUCUUGUCUGGUGCACAUCAGAAUGAUUUAUGUUCUUCCUAAGUACAUGAGGUGUAUCUUGACUCUUGGGACAGUGUCUGCAGCUACAUAGUAUAAGUACUCAGUGCAGUGGGAAAAGAGCAGGUGGAAGCUGUAAUUUCUAGGCAUGAAAUGGUGUUUUCUGAUUGGGGAAAUAUGGUUGAGAAAUAUGAACCAGUAGUGAGAAGGGGUAGUAAAAUUUUUUCUGUGUGAAUGUGUAGCCAUGAAGUUGCUUUUCCACCAGUCAUUUAAUAGAUUGGUAGUCAGUGAAAUGUGGAAGGCUAGGUUCAGGGAAAGCUUUCUGGAGGAGUUGAUGCCUAAGCCUAGUCUAAAAGUGGGAUUUAUCAAGGGGAAAAAUAGUAUAGGGAAAAGGCCUGUAGGCAGUAGCAACUGAGUAAAGACUCAGGCAGGAAACAGUAAUGCAUUUAUUCAUGCAUCUGUUUAUUCAGCAGUGUUUCAUGAGUGCCUACUGUGUGCCAGGCAUUGUUCUAGGCAAUAGAGGUAGAACAGUGAGCAAAACAGACAAAACCUUUGCCCUCUUGGAGUCAGUGUAGAGAAGCAAACUGUAAAUCAAUACACAAAUAUCUAGUAGUCAUAUGGUAAGUACGAUGAAGAAACUUGAAGCAUCAUGAAUGGGACAGGGAGGGCAGGGCUUGGGGAAAUGGGUACUAUUUUGUCUGGAAUGAGCAAUAAAGGCCUAACUGAUGAGGUAACAUUUGAGCAGAGACUUGAAGAAAGUGAGUGUGAAUUAGCAAAGAGAGAAGUGAGAAAAGAGCAUUCUAGCCAGAGGAUCCUACAAGUGAAGGCCCUGAUGAGAUGAGACUGCUUGGUGUGGUUAAGGAGUAGAAGGAGGUUGGUUUGCCUGGUGCUAAGUGGGCCAAGGGCAAAGAAGAGAGAGUCAAAGAGGAAGAAGGAAUAAGACAAUUUGGGCCUUGUAAAUUAUUGAAGGAAUAUAGGCCUCUACUCUUCCUGAAAUGGGAAGCUGUUGGAGAGUUUUGAGCAAGGGAUGACAUGAUCUGACUUGUGUUUUAAGUCACACAAGCCAAUUCUGGCUGCUGUCUUGAGAAUCACUUUUAGAGAGACAGGAGUGGAAGUAGGGAUUAAUUAGAUGGCUCUUGGAAUAAUCCAAGUGAGAGAUGAUUGUAACCUCAACUGGUGGAGGGAGGUGGGGAAAGGUGGAGGUAGUGAGAGUCCUUUGAAGCUAGAGCUGACAGGAUUUGCUGAAUAGAUCAAAUGACGAGUGAGUAUGAGAAAGAUGGAGUUACAGUUUGCUAAGAUAUAAUGUACUAUAGGAGGAGCACAUUUGGAAAGGAAAACAGGUGUUUAGUUUUGGACAUGUUAAGUUUGAAGUGCCUUCUGGACAUCUGAGUGGAGAUGUAAAGUAUGUAGUGUGUUUUAGAGUUCAUGGGAGAGGUCUGGGUUGGAAAUACAAAUUUGGGUAUGGGUGGGAGAGCAGGCUUUUCAGUGUUGUUGGAGCAUAAAAUUUGGUGUAUAAUGUAGUGGGAGUUAACUCCAGGCAUCAGCACUUCUCAACCUUUUCCAUAUUAUGAUAUAUAUGGAAAACAAAGUUUGUAGAAUUUGUUGGAUUAAGUGGACUGGGCUGCUCCUCCCAAGGCUUCUAGUUCUGGGGCUUGGGAACUCCACCUGCUGCAGGCUCCAUUUAGUUAGUAAUCUUAUCCAUCACCCAUUUAAGGCAUUGCCAAGCAGCUGAUUGGGAAGCUCUACUGUAGAGAAGGGGCCAGAUCAAGGAGAAUCUGAAAACAUGAUGUUAAUGAACUAAGACUAUCUUGCAGACAAUGGGAAUUAGUGAGGAGAUUUUAGCAGAAAUACGACAUAAUUGCUUUUAGAUAGAUGUUUUUCUAACUCUUGUUUUAGAUAGAUGUUUUUCUAACUCUUGUGGUGAAAGAUAAGUUUAAAAAAUUUUUCCAUUCCACUGCAGUCUGAUACUUUAGGAAAGUAUACUUUUUAAAAAGUAAAUUACUAGAAAAAUUUUAAUGUAAGUCAAAUAUUUUAUAAUUAAAUUCAGCAGAUAUAAAAAUUACUCUCAGAUUCCUAUAAAAGUUACUUAGUUUCUGUACUCUUGUCACAGACUGGUUGCGACUCAUGGUCUGGCAUCAGUAACAGUAGCACUUUUGAGUAGCAUUGUUUGGAAUCGAACAUAUUUAACAGUAAGAGUAGUAAAAGAAGGAAACAUCUGUGGACAUCUUAAUCAGUUGAAAGGCCACCAAACAUUUUGUGGUGCUCGUUGAAUAGUGGCCUGGAGUAGCCUAAGCAGGCAGUGGUUUGGCAGAGGUAUAAAGUUUAUUGAUGGGGCUUAUUCUACUGAUAAGUGCCCUUGGCCACUCUAAUAAUGUAGUCUCUGCCAUUUCUCCCCUUGCAUUCUGCUCUUUGGGAGCCAUUCUCCGGUGGCCCUGACCUUGGUGAAGCAUAAGUUAUGUUUAACCAUCUCUUUCUUGAUUGAUAGAAUUUGAUUAUUUGAUUUAUUUGUUUCAGUUUCAGUGUUGAACAGAUGGUUACAAAGGAUUGGGUGAAAUAUCUCUCAGGAUAGAGUGACCUUUGUUGUUACUUGGUUUUUCAGAUCAUGUGACAGAUCAGCUGGGUCAUUUUAGCUGUCCAGUAUGUAGAUUAUAAGAAACUAAAAACUUUGGAGCAAGGGAACCUCUCUGAAUUGAGGAAAAUUAAAGAUAAGUGGAAUGGUUGGCCCUUUUGUACAGUUAAUGCAUGAAGCUACCCCUAUCCAAGUACAGCCAGCAUUCCUUGUUUUUCUGUUUUUGUUUUUGUUCCCCUACUAAAAGCUCCAGCAUUUAUCAAGGAAACAUAAGGAACUCCUGAACUCAGUUGCCUUUGUGUAUUCUGGAGGACUUGAAGUGCACUCUGGAAGUGGGUACUCUCCAACAGGGAUGUGAGGUCACAAAGUAUGUUAUUUAGUCAAGCUCCUCUUUUUCUUGAUUGAAAAGGACUUGUUUGUCUAUAAUAAGCACAAAUCCAUUUCCAUUUGUAUGGACUCAUCACCACACCCCUACCUAAACCUGCUUACCUUAACUUGGGCUGGCCCCUCCAAUUCUUGGGCAAGUCUUUGGUUAGAAUCCAUAUUCUUAAGGUAAUUGAUAAAUUCAAAAGUUGUUGUCCUUUGAAAUGCACUCUAAAUUGAGGGGUCAUUGCAAGAUGGCUGUUGAAUAUGUGGUCAGAAUUGGGAAUUUGAUGGCACAUCAGCUACUAACCCACCACUUUGGCACAAUCAGCAAGUAUCUUUGUCUUCCUCAUAAGUGCUGAGACUCAGAUAUGUCAGAAGAGAAGUCAAAAAGCAGAGAUAGCUUGGUUGCAUAUAUCUUUUUGCAGAGAUAAUAUUCAAGUUCUUUAUUUGUUGAUAUGGUAGGCCAGUCAGCCAGCUGGCACAUGUGCUGUCUUCCUAGCUGUCUCAGUCAAAAUCCUGGAGAAGCUGCAGUUCCCACAAGUAACCACAUGAAAGCAGCUCUGGGGAAUGAAUGGUGAGUGGUCACAGCCUUUUGGUCAAGGGGCCAAAAGGGCACCAAAUGUUUGCUGGAGUGCCAUUGCCCUACCACUGAUAUCUCAUCUCCCACUGUGUUCCAGGUGAGCGCUGGCAGAAGGCACAUGAAGAAACAGAGACUGGCUGGCUGAUGGCUAAGGUGGCUAGUGCCAGUCCAUAAUGAUUGUCCAUCUCAAUUAGGAAGAACUUCUGAGAAAGGGAUUUGAAGAAAACUGGGCACAGACUCAACAAAA